rnacentral:rRNA from 1 species
UACGUAGGGUGCAAGCGUUGUCCGGAAUUAUUGGGCGUAAAGAGCUCGUAGGCGGUUAGUCGCGUCUGCUGUGAAAACUCGGGGCUUAACCCUGGGCCUGCAGUGGGUACGGGCUGACUAGAGUGCGGUAGGGGAGACUGGAAUUCCUGGUGUAGCGGUGAAAUGCGCAGAUAUCAGGAGGAACACCGGUGGCGAAGGCGGGUCUCUGGGCCGUAACUGACGCUGAGGAGCGAAAGCAUGGGGAGCGAACAGG